rnacentral:rRNA from 1 species
UACCAGCACCCCGAGUGGUCGGGACGUUUAUUGGGCCUAAAGCAUCCGUAGCCGGUUCUACAAGUCUUCCGUUAAAUCCACCUGCUUAACAGAAUGGGCUGCGGAAGAUACUAUGGAGCUAGGAGGCGGGAGAGGCAAGCGGUACUCGAUGGGUAGGGGUAAAAUCCGUUGAUCCAUUGAAGACCACCAGUGGCGAAGGCGGCUUGCCAGAACGCGCUCGACGGUGAGGGAUGAAAGCUGGGGGAGCAAACCGG